rnacentral:rRNA from 1 species
GACGAACGCUGGCGGCGUGCCUAAUACAUGCAAGUAGAACGCACAGUUUAUACCGUAGCUUGCUACACCAUAGACUGUGAGUUGCGAACGGGUGAGUAACGCGUAGGUAACCUGCCUGGUAGCGGGGGAUAACUAUUGGAAACGAUAGCUAAUACCGCAUAAUAUUAAUUAUUGCAUGAUAAUUAAUUGAAAGGUGCAAUUGCACCACUACCAGAUGGACCUGCGUUGUAUUAGCUAGUAGGUGAGGUAACGGCUCACCUAGGCGACGAUACAUAGCCGACCUGAGAGGGGGAUCGGCCGCACUGGGACUGAGACACGGCCCAGACCCCGACGGGAGGCAGCAGUAGGGAAUCUUCGGCAAUGGACGAAAGUCUGACCGAGCAACGCCGCGUGAGUGAAGAAGGUUUUCGGAUCGUAAAGCUCUGUUGUAAGAGAAGAACGGGGGUGAGAGUGGAAAGUUCACACUGUGACGGUAUCUUACCAGAAAGGGACGGCUAACUACGUG